rnacentral:tRNA from 1 species
GCUGAACUAGCUCAGUUGGUAGAGCAGCUCAUUCGUAAUGAGCAGGUCGGGGGUUCAACUCCCCCGUUCAGCU